AUGUCUUUAGCUUAAAAAGUAUUAGCUUUGAAGGGGCUAACUAUUCUAGACAUA
rnacentral:tRNA from 1 species